AAUGAACGUUGGUGGCGUGGAUUAGGCAUGCAAGUCGUGCGAGAAGGCCCCGCAAGGGGCCGGACAGCGGCGAACGGGGUAGUAAGGCGUCGGUACGUGCCCUGGGGUCCGGGAUAGCGGCGGGAAACUGCCGGUAAUACCGGAUGACCUCUCCGGAGCAAAGGUGUGAUUCCGCCCUUGGAGCGGCCGACGUGAUACCAGCUAGAUGGCGGGGUAACGGCCCCCCAUGGCUAAGACGUCUAGGGGGUGUGAGAGCAUGGCCCCCACCACUGGGACGGAGACACUGCCCAGACACCUACGGGUGGCUGCAGUCGAGAAUCUUCGGCAAUGGGCGCAAGCCUGACCGAGCGACGCCACGUGCGGGAUGACGGCCCUCGGGUUGUAAACCGCUGUCGGGGGGGAUGAAGUCACGCGGGGCAAUCCCCGCGUGUUGACAGAGCCCCGGAGGAAGCGCGGGCUAAGUACGUGCCAGCCGCCGCAGUAAAAC
rnacentral:rRNA from 1 species